UAAACAUUGUCGAUGCUUGCCCUUUUUGUGAUUUUGGUUUUGAUGAUCUUACUCACAUUCUAAGAUCUUGCUGCUCCAUUAAACCACUUUGGACAGCCUUGGGUAUUCCUCCUUUUUUGCUCAAAUCAUUUCAUGAUCCCUUUCCUACUAGGCUGCAUGCAAAUCUCACCUCAAAAUGCCUUUAUUCGAGACCCCAACUACCAUGGUAUUUGGUUUUCAUUUUCUUCCUUUGAAAUCUUUGGCUUGCUAGAAAUGCAAACAAAUUUGGAAAAGCCUAUAAUCUUUGCUCGCUGGCUCAUCACUCAACUGCAAGUGUGGCUGAAUUCUUUGCAACUUCAAGCCGCAUCAAAUGCUAUAAGCUCCCAAACUUCACAAGUAUCAAAUGGUAUCUGCCUGAUAGAGAAUGGGUUAAAUUAAAUUGUGAGGGGUCGUCCAUUGGCAAUUUGGGUUCCGCCGGAGCAGGAGCGAUUAUCCUAGACUCCAAAGGCUCUCAGGUAGCAGGACUUUAUUGGCGACCUCCCAGCAUCGUCACCUCGUUCACAUCUUCUGAAAGGGUAAUUGCUAUGCUGAUUGUUUUGUAUUUCGAACUACCUUCUUUAAAUGUGCAGCUUUGUCAAUUCUGAUAUUGCUGGACGCUUUGUCUAUCGUGCUACUGUUUCGUUUUAAAUUUUAGUAAUGAAAGUUCCUUUAUUUCCCACACAAGAAAAACAUAGUUUCAUCCCCUAACAUUUUGAUCCUGAAACUGCGAGCUAAUAAUGUUGAUGGAGAAAUUGCUUUGUUUAACUAGCAAGUGGCUUUUAUAUUGAAAGACAGAGGACAGUGUCGUUUUAGGAAUAAGUAAAUUGUUACAAAUUUUAAGCAUAAUUUUGCAGCAAAAGAAGAGUACUCAAUUACAUUUUACAUCACAGAGCACCAAUGUUCUUGAGACCAAGAACGAUCCCAACACCAAAAAUAUGGCCAACAACACCACAAGCCAAAGUGUCAGCAAGUGUAAAACCAGCAGGGUCACCAGUCUGCAAGCCUGAGUCCCUUACUUCAAGCUUCAAUCCAGCGGUGGCCUUUCUGUUUGCUGAUGGAGCCAACCCAAACCUCCCAGCAAACAGCAUCAGGGUUGUUGUAGUCACCAUUAUCUGACCAGUAAACAAACAUUAUACAAAAGUUUUUCUACACAAUCAAAAAUCAUAUAGCAAAGACAGAAAAAAAAAUCCUGACCAAAUUUGUGGGAGAUCCGAUGAAAUCACAUCGUGCACCGAGAGCACCCUUCCCCUUGCGCCUCAUUGGUUGAACUGCUGCCUGCAAUAUUCAUGAACUGAGAAACCAGAUCCAAGUAAAAAUGAAACCAGAAAAGCAAACUCAGGAAUAUUGACUAACCAGGCUCCUAACUGGAGCAGUAGAAACUUUGGGUCUUAACCCACUGAACUGGGGGAGAGUGGUGAUUGCUGCAGUAGCUGCCAUUUGAUAGUAUGCAAGAGAUAAUCAGAAUUGGUUCAAGACAAUUACAAGGUGCCUAUCACCCUCUCUCUGAUCUUUUCUAGUUU